UACAGAGAGUGCGAGCGUUAAUCGGAAUUACUGGGCGUAAAGCGUGUGUAGGUGGUUGGAUAAGUUAGAUGUGAAAUCCCCGGGCUUAACCUGGGCAUUGCGUUUAAGACUGUUCAGCUAGAGUACUGUAGAGGAUAGUGGAAUUUCCAGUGUAGCGGUGAAAUGCGUAGAUAUUGGAAGGAACACCAGUGGCGAAGGCGACUAUCUGGACAGAUACUGACACUGAGACACGAAAGCGUGGGGAGCAAACAGG
rnacentral:rRNA from 1 species